rnacentral:rRNA from 1 species
UACGAAGGGGGCUAGCGUUGCUCGGAAUCACUGGGCGUAAAGGGCGCGUAGUCGGCCAUUCAAGUCGGAGGUGAAAGCCCAGGGCUCAACCCUGGAAUUGCCUUCGAUACUGUCUGGCUAGAGACCGGAAGAGGUAAGUGGAACUGCGAGUGUAGAGGUGAAAUUCGUAGAUAUUCGCAAGAACACCAGUGGCGAAGGCGGCUUACUGGUCCGGUUCUGACGCUGAGGCGCGAAAGCGUGGGGAGCAAACAGG